rnacentral:tmRNA from 1 species
GGGGCUGAUUCUGGAUUCGACGGGAUUUGCGAAACCCAAGGUGCAUGCCGAGGGGCGGUUGGCCUCGUAAAAAGCCGCAAAAAAUAGUCGCAAACGACGAAAACUACGCUUUAGCAGCUUAAUAACCUGCUUAGAGCCCUCUCUCCCUAGCCUCCGCUCUUAGGACGGGGAUCAAGAGAGGUCAAACCCAAAAGAGAUCGCGUGGAAGCCCUGCCUGGGGUUGAAGCGUUAAAACUUAAUCAGGCUAGUUUGUUAGUGGCGUGUCCGUCCGCAGCUGGCAAGCGAAUGUAAAGACUGACUAAGCAUGUAGUACCGAGGAUGUAGGAAUUUCGGACGCGG